rnacentral:rRNA from 1 species
UUUUAGGAAUAAUCUUUUACUUCUUAAAAAAGUGUGUUAGAGUAAUUAAUGGUCAAAUAAAUUUAUUUUUAAGGUACUUGAUUUUAAAUUAUAAAAUUUUUAACAAAAGAGGGCUAGUAUCCUUGUAUGGAAUUCUAAUUUAGGGUAGUUUUAAAAACCGAAAAUAAGUGGCAGUAAAAUAUUCAAAUUAAGGAAUUUUGAAAAAUAAGUUGAUAGUCCUCAAUUUUAUUUACCUUAAAAAAUUUUUUGUGCGGCUGUUAAAAUAAUGAUUUAAAAAUUUAAGUUAAGUCAGGUUUUGCGUUAUUUAUAUUUAAGGGGAUUUUUGAAAUGUUGUUAAAAUUUUAUUAUUUGAUUAAUAAUUCUUAAUACUUAAUAGUAAUCAAUAAGCUAAUAAAACAGUUUUAUUUUAGGCUCAUAUUGUCCGUCACUCUCGCGU